GACGAACGCUGGCGGCAGGCCUAACACAUGCAAGUCGAGCGGAGCGGCGGACGGGUGAGUAAUGCCUAGGAAUCUGCCUGGUCGUGGUGGAUAACGUCCGGAAACGGGCGCUAAUACCGCAUACUAUCAGAUGAGCCUUGGUCGGAUUAGCUAGUUGGUGGGGUAAAGGCCUACCAAGGCGACGAUCCGUAACUGGUCUGAGAGGAUGAUCAGUCAAACUGGAACUGAGACACGGCCCAGACUCCUACGGGAGGAAGCAGUGGGGAAUAUUGGACAAUGGGCGAAAGCCGGAUACAGACAUGCCGCGUGUGUGAAGAAGGUCUUCGGAUUGUAAAGCACUUUAAGUUGGGAGGCGUUACCAACAGAAUAAGCACCGGCUAACUGCGUGCCAGCCGCCGCGGUAAUUC
rnacentral:rRNA from 1 species